AUGAACGCUGGCGGCGUGCCUAAUACAUGCAAGUCGAGCGAACGGACGAGAAGCUUGCUUCUCUGAUGUUAGCGGCGGACGGGUGAGUAACACGUGGAUAACCUACCUAUAAGACUGGGAUAACUUCGGGAAACCGGAGCUAAUACCGGAUAAUAUUUUGAACCGCAUGGUUCAAAAGUGAAAGACGGUCUUGCUGUCACUUAUAGAUGGAUCCGCGCUGCAUUAGCUAGUUGGUAAGGUAACGGCUUACCAAGGCAACGAUGCAUAGCCGACCUGAGAGGGUGAUCGGCCACACUGGAACUGAGACACGGUACAGACUCCUACGGGAGGCAGCAGUAGGGAAUCUUCCGCAAUGGGCGAAAGCCUGACGGAGCAACGCCGCGUGAGUGAUGAAGGUCUUAGGAUCGUAAAACUAUGUUAUUAGGGAAGAACAUAUGUGUAAGUAACUGUGAACAUCUUGACGGUACCUAAUCAGAAAGCCACGGCUAACUACGUG
rnacentral:rRNA from 1 species